ACGGGAGGCAGCAGUAGGGAAUAUUGGGCAAUGGACGCAAGUCUGACCCAGCCAUGCCGCGUGCAGGAUGAAGGCCUUCUGGGUUGUAAACUGCUUUUAUCUAGGAAGAAAACGCCCAUGCGUGGGAAACUGACGGUACUAGAUGAAUAAGCACCGGCUAACUCCGUGCCAGCAGCCGCGGUAAUACGGAGGGUGCAAGCGUUGUCCGGAUUUAUUGGGUUUAAAGGGUGCGUAGGCGGCCCGGUAAGUCAGUGGUGAAAGCCUCCAGCUCAACUGGAGAACUGCCAUUGAUACUGCCGGGCUUGAGUACAGACGAGGUUGGCGGAAUUGAUUGUGUAGCGGUGAAAUGCAUAGAUACAAUCAAGAACUCCGAUUGCGUAGGCAGCUAACUAGGCUGUAACUGACGCUGAGGCACGAAAGCGUGGGGAGCGAACAGGAUUAGAUACCCUGGUA
rnacentral:rRNA from 1 species